AUAAAAAUAGUCCUAAAAAUUCUUGUUCGUUUUCAAAACAUCGUGCGACCAAAAGCUAUAGUAGUACCUUGCUUUGAUUAUAUAAAGCAAUUUCUAUUAAAUAUGGGAAACAAUUUUGAAAUAUAUACAUUCCUGAUUGUUUUCACUUCAAAUCACUCCACGGUGACGUCACAUUUUGAUUCAUACACCGGGAAAUUCAACUACCACGUGGCCGAACUUGAGAAAUCUUGUCCAAUCAUUCUCAUAUAGGCGGUGAUUUAAUUAUUGGUUAUUGUUAUUAUUGUUAUGCUCGUCAAGAAAUGGAAGACACACCUGGCCACCCGAUAUAUAUGACCUCUCCUGAGCAUGAAAAUCUACUGAAAUGUUUUCUAAAUGUUUCAUUAUGAGCCAUUUAUUGAUAGUUGACAUUGAAUUUGACUUCUUUUUUUUUUUUUUGCAUUUAAAUUACGCAAUAUAACGGACUUUGAAAUAUGCAACACGACACAUUUUCGUUGAUAGUUAAUAACAAAUCUGAACAUUCAGUCUGCCAUAACAGCAGGGGAUUCAGUGCAAGACCCAGCAGGACUGAUCAGUACAAACAUUCCUUCUUUAUAAGGACCGCCAUCGACUUGAACCACCUCUGUGAUCCAGCUGUGUUAUGUGACUCGAUUGGGGGCUUCAAGUCGUCCCUCGAAUCGCGCGCUCUCCCACCCACUGUGACAUCACCAACAUUGGGAUCUGCAAUGUAACAAUACAGAGUCAUACAAUUAUAUCGCCGUGUGGAUUAAGAUGAUUGUUAAUUAAAGGCCGCCAGAUCAAUUUGUACAAAAAUGGCACGAUGAUAUUAUAUAGGUCUAGAGGAAGCGAUUUACAUAAUUAUUUAAAUAAAAAAUUUAAAUGUGGGGAGUAUUUGAUAUCGUUACCGAAAAAGUUACGGAAAACCUUCAUUAAUGUAGAAUUACAAUGUCAUCACCUUCCUGUCAAAAUAGGUAGAUGGAGUAAUAUUCAAAGAAUGAACGCUCAACUUUCGCUAUUGUAGAUUACGCAACUGUAAGCAAAUUGCAGAUAAAAUUUCAUUAUAUUCUGGAAUGUGAAGCACUAUGCAAAUUACGCAGAUAAUUUUAAACAGUAGAAUAUUGUUCUGUCCCAAACACAAAAAAAAAGUGAACUUAUGUCUUCGAGAGAUUAUGUAUUACUAAGAAAGCUAUGUACUAAUAUGUUCAUUUUAAAAUUCAAUAAUAUUGUCUGGUCUCCGGAUUUUCUCUCUGUUUGAUCCACACGUUUUUGUAUAUGUGUAAUUUAUACGUUUCAUGCACAUUAUGUACCAUACCAUGGUUUGAGUGAAAUAAACUUCAAAUACGUAUAAGAAUAAA